rnacentral:rRNA from 1 species
UGGGGAAUAUUGCACAAUGGGCGGAAGCCUGAUGCAGCGACGCCGCGUGGGGGAUGAAGGCCUUCGGGUUGUAAACUCCUUUCGACAGGGACGAAGCUUUUGUGACGGUACCUGUAUAAGAAGCACCGGCUAACUACGUGCCAGCAGCCGCGGUAAUACGUAGGGUGCGAGCGUUGUCCGGAAUUACUGGGCGUAAAGAGCUCGUAGGUGGUUUGUCGCGUCGUCUGUGAAAUUCCGGGGCUUAACUCCGGGCGUGCAGGCGAUACGGGCUGACUUGAGUGCUGUAGGGGAGACUGGAAUUCCUGGUGUAGCGGUGAAAUGCGCAGAUAUCAGGAGGGACACCGAUGGCGAAGGCAGGUCUCUGGGCAGUAACUGACGCUGAGGGGCGAAAGCAUGGGUAGCGAACAGG